UUAGGUAACUUUUCCAAAAAUUAAUGUUAUCCAAGAUCAGAACAGAAUUAAACAUGUUAUCCAGGAUCCGAAUAGAGUUAAAUCGGGUAAAACCCACCCAUUUGAAUUAAUUGUUGAAUUAUGGUUCACAUCUUCAACAUUAUCUUCAAAAACCUCCUACAAAAAUGUAUAUAUAGAUUAAUU
rnacentral:sRNA from 1 species